CGAAUAACCUCUAGAACCGAAAUGUUCCAAGUUGGGAACUGCCAAAAAAGAGUAUAAUUUCCGAGUUUGGGGGUUUAUAUUAUCCACAUAAAUUAGGGGUACCCAAAAAGUAAUAUUUGUAAAAGGUAUCUUUGAUCCUAUGACAAAUAGUAUAUAGUAGUCGAAAUUAGUUAUAGAUCGAGUAGGUCCAAAAAUACAGAAUUACAAAAUUGAAAAUAUUUGUAGAAAAUCGUAAGAAAAUGUUGGAGGCCAUUUUGUUUUUUCUGUGCAGUACAAUAUUAUAUUUCAUCGCCCGUGUAGAAGAGCCGCCCACAGGCGGAGGUUUUCUUUUGGGCCGACAUAUAGUUCUAUAUUCGGUAGCCGCCGGUUUCGUCUUUCUGCAUCGCUGAACCUGUAAAAAGCGAAGGGCAAACUUUUUUUUUUUUGAAAAAGAUGUACAUGUUUAUUGAAAAAUUUGAAAUCAAGUUAAAUUAAUUAAAGAACAUUGCAAGUGAAAUGAACAAAAAAAAUUAUGAUGAUAUGAAGCUCAAGUUCCAAUGCAGUUGGUAUAAAAAAUGCGCAGACAAACAACCUGUGGGAACCAAGGCGCGGACCAUGCGAGUGUAACUAACUAGGAUGAACCUUAAAAUUCGAUAACUACUUGGCUUGGCGCCGUCUUGUGGUUGGUGUGGUAGGUGUGCCGGUUGGCGGUUUUAUCUAAAUGGUACAGAAAUAAAUAAAAAAGACAGCAUAUUAGGAAUAA